UGCAGUCGAGCGGCAGCGCGGGGCAACCUGGCGGCGAGCGGCGAGCGGGUGAGUAAUGCAUCGGAACGUACCCAUUUGUGGGGGAUAACUAUCCGAAAGGAUAGCUAAUACCGCAUAAGUCCUGAGGGAGAAAGCGGGGGAUCGCAAGACCUCGCGCGAAUGGAGCGGCCGAUGCCGGAUUAGCUAGUUGGUAGGGUAAAGGCCUACCAAGGCGACGAUCCGUAGCUGGUCUGAGAGGAUGAUCAGCCACACUGGAACUGAGACACGGUCCAGACUCCUACGGGAGGCAGCAGUGGGGAAUUUUGGACAAUGGGGGAAACCCUGAUCCAGCCAUUCCGCGUGAGUGAAGAAGGCCUUCGGGUUGUAAAGCUCUUUCGGCAGGAACGAAACGGUGGGGGCUAACACCCUCUACUAAUGACGGUACCUGAAGAAGAAGCACCGGCUAACUACGUGCCAGCAGC
rnacentral:rRNA from 1 species